GCGGGCCGGGCCGAGCGGUAAGGCAGCGGCCCUCCAAGCCGCCUGGACCGAUUCGAAUCCGGUAGCCCGCUCCA
rnacentral:tRNA from 2 species